rnacentral:tRNA from 2 species
GGCCCCAUCGUCUAGUGGUUAGGACAUCACGCUUUCAAUGUGACAACAGGGGUUCGAUUCCCCUUGGGGCUACAA